UUGGCUCAUGCUGCCAUAACAAAAUACCACGGGCUGAGAGGCUUGAGAAGAGAAAUUUCUCACAGCUCUGGAGGUUUUGCAGCCAAAGAUCAAGAUACCGGCAAGUUACUCCUACUUGGAGGCCAGACUGAUGAUUCUUUGGAUACUGAGGCUGACUUUCCAGAACAGGGGGAGACUUCAUUCUAAGGAACGAAGCCUGACUGUUGGAAUAUUAGGACCUGAGCCUUCCAGGAUCCCUCUGCGGUCACUGCACUGCCAAUCUUUCAAGCACCUCCUGAAGCUAAUGGAAGACAUGUCCCAGCUCGAAACAAUAGCACUUCAGAUGAUCGGCCUGUGGAAAUGGGACCCACAGCUUCUCUCUGUACGGACACCUCCCCUCGCCAUUACCCAGCUACC